rnacentral:rRNA from 1 species
GGAAACCGGAGCUAAUACCGGAUAAUAUAUUGAACCGCAUGGUUCAAUAGUGAAAGACGGUUUUGCUGUCACUUAUAGAUGGAUCCGCGCCGCAUUAGCUAGUUGGUAAGGUAACGGCUUACCAAGGCAACGAUGCGUAGCCGACCUGAGAGGGUGAUCGGCCACAUUGGAACUGAGACACGGUCCAG